AGAUUGAACGCUGGCGGCAUGCCUAACACAUGCAAGUCGAACGGGAGUAGCAAUACUCUAGUGGCGGACGGGUGAGGAAUACGUAGGAAUUUGCCCUUAAGUGGGGGAUAACCCGGGGAAACCCGGAUUAAUACCGCAUGACCUCGAAAGAGCAAAGUGGGGGAUCGCAAGACCUCACGCUUUUGGAGAAGCCUACGUCGGAUUAGCUAGUUGGUGAGGUAAUGGCUCACCAAGGCGACGAUCCGUAACUGGUCUGAGAGGAUGAUCAGUCACACCGGAACUGAGACACGGUCCGGACUCCGUACGGGAGGCAGCGAGGUGGGGAAUAGUUGGACAAGUGGGCGCAACGCCUGAUCCAGCAAGUCGCCGCGUGUGCGAAGGAACGGUCCGUUCGGUUAGUAAAGCUAACGUUUAAGUUAGGG
rnacentral:rRNA from 1 species